rnacentral:rRNA from 1 species
CCCUUAGAUGUCCUGGGCCGCACGCGCGCUACACUGACGAAGUCAGCGAGCAUGUCCUACGCCGACAGGUGCGGGGAAUCUUGUCAAACUUCGUCGUGAUGGGGAUUGAUUAUUGAAAUUCUUGAUCAUCAACGAGGAAUUCCUAGUAAGCGCAAGUCAGCAGCUUGCGUUGAUUACGUCCCUGCCCUUUGUACACACCGCCCGUCGCUACUACCGAUUGAAUGGUUUAGUGAGAUCUUCGGAUUGGCGCCACUGCGGCUCAGCAAUGGGCUCGGUGGAUGCCGAAAAGUUGAUCAAACUUGAUCAUUUAGAGGAAGUAAAAGUCGUAACA